UUAUUUUUAGUGGGCGGUUUUAAGUUUUAACCAUCUAUUAAAUAUAUAUACCAACAUAAAGUAAAAAACUUUGGAAAAAAUCUCAACUCCAGAACCCAAAAUCUCAUCUUUCCAUUAGAGCGCAGCUCUCAUUCCUCUCGAUUUUCUUUCACUUUGUUCGCCUCUUCGAUUAUCAAUUCCGCUCUCAGAUUCUUGAAGCAAGCGAAGUUCAAUUCUCCUCCCUACAUCAGAAGAAAACUCUGAUUCCCCAAAAUUAGGGUAAUCUCAAUCCCUAAAAGAUGCCGGCCACCGCAGGGAGGGUUCGAAUGCCCGCGAACAACCGGGUGCAUAGUAGCGCCGCCUUGCAAACCCACGGGAUUUGGCAAAGUGCAAUCGGGUAUGACCCUUAUGCUCCUAAUAAAGAUGAUUCAAAAAAUUCAUCGAGUCAGAUGACUGCCGCUGCUGAACCCGAUGGUGAAAACGCAUACGCUAGCUUUCAAGGGCUUCUAGCCCUUGCCCGGAUCACGGGUUCGAAUGCAGAUGAGGCUCGUGGAGCUUGUAAGAAGUGUGGGCGUGUUGGUCACCUUACUUUUCAGUGCAAGAAUUUCGUGAGUUUGAAGGAGAGUAAGGAGAAAGACCCUGAAGCGAUCCAGGCUGCGGUUUUGAAUGGACUUGAUAAGUUGAAAGGAGGGAAACUGAAUGGGAAAAAGGAGAUGGAGAGUGAAGAAGAGGAGGACGAGGAGAGUGAGAGUUCGGACUCUGAUGUGGAUUCGGAUAUUGAGAGGAUUAUUGCUGAAAGAUCUGGGAAGAAGGUUUCUAGGAAAGGGAAGAAAUCAUCAAAGAAGAAGAAGAUGAGUGAUGAGGAUGAUAGCUCUGAAUCCGAUUAUGGGGAGAGAAAGAAAAAGAGAGGGAGGUCAAAGAAAAGGAGUAGUAGGAAGAGAGGAAUUAGUGAUUCUGAUGAUGAGGAUGAAGGUAGGAGGAAGAGGAGGAAAGAAAAGAGAAAGAAGAGGGAUGAUUCUUCGGACGAGGAUGAUGAUCAUCAUCGUCGUCAUAGGAAAAGAAAGAGUAGGAAGGAGAAGAGGAGAAGGAGAAGUCAUAGGCAUUCUGAUGAUUCUGAAUCAUCGGAUGUGUCUGAUGAUCCUGGUAAACGACAUAGGAGGAAGAGCCAAAGGCAUGAAUCCCUCUCUGGUUCUGAUGUUAGUGGUUCGGAUGAUUCUCGGGUUGGAAGGGGUGCAAAGAGGUCUGAGAAGAGGAGCAGGAAACGCCAUCACGAAGAUGAUGAGUAGAGGCUUGUUAGCUAAGAGGCUUUUCCUUCUGUUCCAAGUGAUUGGCUUUUGGUUUAGGAAGAACUCGAUAAUGGCUUUUGGGAUUUUUGCAGGAAUGAUUUCACGGUUGCUCAUCAAUUUUGGGAUUUAGAAGAGUGGAUAUGAUGUUUGUGCUAGAAGAAGUUGAUGUCUUGGAGGAGAAGAUCAUAUAAGUUCUGUUAUGGUGUGAAAGAUCGCCAACAUGUAGUACUCUUCUUUAGAGAGAAAAAAAAAGGUAUUAAAGAAUUCGCAGAGGUACUUUAUGUCUUGUGUUGAAUUGCCCUGUGAAUAAAGGUGAGGUGUUCAAUCUCACAUGUUGGGCAUCAGAUACUAAUGUAUAAGAUUGUGAUGGACAAUGUUUGUUCUUUGAAGUUGUUUCUAUUAAAUGUGGCCAUCUUUUUCCA